AUUGAACGCUGGCGGCAUGCCUUACACAUGCAAGUCGAACGGUAACGGGCCUUCGGGUGCCGACGAGUGGCGAACGGGUGAGUAAUGCAUCGGAACGUACCUUUCAGUGGGGGAUAACGUAGCGAAAGUUACGCUAAUACCGCAUAUUCUGUGAGCAGGAAAGCAGGGGAUCGCAAGACCUUGCGCUGAUUGAGCGGCCGAUGUCAGAUUAGCUAGUUGGUGAGGUAAAGGCUCACCAAGGCGACGAUCUGUAGCGGGUCUGAGAGGAUGAUCCGCCACACUGGAACUGAGACACGGUCCAGACUCCUACGGGAGGCAGCAGUGGGGAAUUUUGGACAAUGGGGGAAACCCUGAUCCAGCAAUGCCGCGUGUGUGACGAAGGCCUUCGGUGUAAGCACUUUGGCGGGAACGAAACGGCGCUUUCUAAUACA
rnacentral:rRNA from 1 species